GCCCCCAAAAGAGCAACGGUCUUCGAUGGCCUCCGGAGCCGUGUGCGCAGGUUCGAAUCCUGCCGGGGGUA
rnacentral:tRNA from 1 species